GAAAUGCGAUAACUAAUGUGAAUUGCAGAAUUCAGUGAAUCAUCGAGUCUUUGAACGCACAUUGCGCCCCCUGGUAUUCCGGGGGGCAUGCCUGUCCGAGCGUCAUUGCUGCCCUCAAGCCCGGCUUGUGUGUUGGGUCGCCGUCCCCCUCUCCGGGGGGACGGGCCCGAAAGGCAGCGGCGGCACCGCGUCCGAUCCUCGAGCGUAUGGGGCUUUGUCACAUGCUCUGUAGGAUUGGCCGGCGCCUGCCGACGUUUUCCAACCAUUCUUUCCAGGUUGACCUCGGAUCUGGUAGGGAUACCCGCUGAACUUAAGC
rnacentral:misc_RNA from 1 species